GGAGCAUGUGAGAUGGAGGGAGCUGCAGAGAGAGGCGUCCUGGCCGUGCUGGUGGUCCUGGCUGGGCUGGCAGCCUGUGGAUCCGGCAGUGAAAUCAUAGAGGGUCCCAAGAAUGUCACGGCCCUGAAGGGCUCGGAGGCUCGCUUCAACUGCACCAUCUCCCAGGGCUGGAAGCUCAUCAUGUGGGCUCUGAGAGGCACGGUGGUGCUGAGCAUGACACCUAGUGAGCCCAUCAUCACCAGUGACCGCUUCACCUCGGCAAGCUACCAGGAGGGCGGGAACUUCAUCUCUGAGAUGAUAAUUCAUGACGUGCAACUCAGCGAUGCCGGGCAGGUCAAAUGCAGCCUCCAGAACAGCAACCGGGAUGGAUCCGCCUUCCUUUCUGUUCAAGUCAUGGGGCAGUUGCUCAUUCCUGGAGGCAGCCUUGUAGUCAUUGAGGAUAAGCCUUGUAAUGUGACUUGCCGUGCACUGAACUGGACCACGCUCCCAGAUCUUUCCUGGGAGAUAGGGGUUCCCGUGAGCCAUUCGAGCUAUUAUUCCGUCCUGGAGCCUGAGGACCUUCAAAGUGCAGUGAGCAUCCUUGCUCUGACACCGCAGGGCAAUGGCACUGUGACUUGUGUGGCUGAGAUGAAGGGGCUGGAUGUCCGUGAGUCUGUAACUGUCAAUCUCACUGUGGUUCCGCCUCCCUUGGACAGUAUUGAUAAACCAGGUGCCUCAUUGCCUACCUGGGCCAUAGUUCUACUUGCCGUGUCAUUGUCAUUGCUUUUGAUCCUGAUCAUUGUUCUGAUCAUAAUAUUCUGCUGCUGUGUCUCCAGGACAGAGAAAGAAGAAUCUAGUUAUCAAAGUGAAAUAAGGAAAUCUGCGACUGUGAAGACAAGCAAAGACACUGUUGGGACAAAGUUGAAAAGUGCAAAUGAAAACUAUGGCUACCGUUCAGAUGAGCCAAAGACCACACAGCCAGCUUCCCUCCAUGCCAAGUCCUCUGAAGCUGGUGUUCCAGAGCAACGCAGCAGUAGGCAACCUCAUCAGGAGUCUGAUCACCGCCAGCUGGGCCCAGCAAAUCACCCACAGGUUUCCUUUAACGUGGCCAGUCCAAAGAAGGUCAGGAAUGUGACUUUGGUAUAG
rnacentral:lncRNA from 1 species